rnacentral:rRNA from 1 species
UACGAAGGGGGCUAGCGUUGCUCGGAAUCACUGGGCGUAAAGGGUGCGUAGGCGGGUCUUUAAGUCAGGGGUGAAAUCCUGGAGCUCAACUCCAGAACUGCCUUUGAUACUGAAGAUCUUGAGUUCGGGAGAGGUGAGUGGAACUGCGAGUGUAGAGGUGAAAUUCGUAGAUAUUCGCAAGAACACCAGUGGCGAAGGCGGCUCACUGGCCCGAUACCUGACGCUGAGGCACGAAAGCGUGGGGAGCAACAGGG